rnacentral:rRNA from 1 species
CAGACAUGCUCCGUGCGUUCAGCCGAAAGGUGUACUCGUACGGUUGCAGGCUAGAGUCUGUUCUUGGGGUCGGAUAAGGGUCUUGGGAAUGUGGCCGGUUCGCCGGUGUUAAGCCCUGGACUUGAUACGGCUCUGGGGACAGAGGACCGCAGCGCGCCUUCUUGGCAUUGGCUUCGGCCUUUUCCGCGCUAAGGAUUCUGGCUUAAUGGCUUUAAGCGACCCGUCUUGAAACACGGACCAAGGAGUCUAACAUAUAUGCGAGUGUUUCGAG